rnacentral:rRNA from 1 species
CCUACGGGGAGGCAGCAGUGAGGAAUAUUGGUCAAUGGGCGAGAGCCUGAACCAGCCAAGUCGCGUGAAGGAUGACGGCCCUACGGGUUGUAAACUUCUUUUGUCAGGGAGCAAUUGGGUCCACGCGUGGGCUUAGCGAGAGUACCUGAAGAAAAAGCAUGGGCUAACUCCGUGACAGCGGCCGCGGUAAUACGGAGGAUGCGAGCGUUAUCCGGAUUUAUUGGGUUUAAGGGGUGCGUAGGCGGAAUAUCAAGUCAGCGGUAAAAAUUCGGGGCUCAACCCCGUCGUGCCGUUGAAACUGGUGUUCUUGAGUGGGCGAGAAGUAUGCGGAAUGCGUGGUGUAGCGGUGAAAUGCAUAGAUAUCACGCAGAACUCCGAUUGCGAAGGCAGCAUACCGGCGCCCAACUGACGCUGAAGCACGAAAGCGUGGGUAUCGAACAGGAUUAGAUACCCCGGUAGUC